AGUGAGGCCACACAGGGCUUUUGAGGCUGAUCCUACACAGUCUCCAAAUGCCGGCACAUCUCCAGUCUUGCAGUUUUGAGAAAUACCUGCCAUAGACUCUCCCAGGACCUGGACGGAACAAAGGAGCAGGCCUACCUUGGAGUUCUCCAUCACACUCUCAAUGCAGUCGAAGUAGGAGAGGUCGCUGACCGGCUCGCUGGGAUUGUCCAGCAUUCCUCUGACAGCCUGGGAGAUGAGUGAGCAAUAUGAGUCUAAUGUUUCACAGUUCUCUCAGGGCGUUGUCACACUCAUUCUGGCCAGGAGCCUGCUGUGUACACAGCGUGAUCAGCUGGUUAAUGCUGUCAGUCACUGAUCUGAAACAAGCAAACAAACAGAAAAAAUAAAUAAAUCACAACCUGGUAAUUGAACGUGUAUGGUCUGAGUGGUGACAUUUGAAUUGAUAUGCAUUUAAAAAGUGCUAGUGCCGUCUGAACUAAAUGAAAGAGAAAAGGCUGGUAGAGCCCUAUUUAUACACAACCAACAAGACCGACCUGAGUG